CAGCCGCCACGGGAAUACGUAGGUGGCAAGCGUUGUCCGGAAUUAUUGGGCGUAAAGGGCUCGCAGGCGGUUUCUUAAGUCUGAUGUGAAAGCCCCCGGCUCAACCGGGGAGGGUCAUUGGAAACUGGGAAACUUGAGUGCAGAAGAGGAGAGUGGAAUUCCACGUGUAGCGGUGAAAUGCGUAGAGAUGUGGAGGAACACCAGUGGCGAAGGCGACUCUCUGGUCUGUAACUGACGCUGAGGAGCGAAAGCGUGGGGAGCGAAUAGGAUUAGAUACCCCAGUAGUCCCUGUCUCUUAUAC
rnacentral:rRNA from 1 species